UGUAUUAAAAAUGCUACACCUGUUUUGUAAAAGUUUAUUACAGGUGCAUACGCGGGGUCUUAAAAUUACCCCUUACAAAAAUCUGCCGGACGAAAAUUAAUCAUUUCGCACCGGGUGAUCAUGCGCGUAAAAAUGAUUAAACAUCGACGAUAAAGGUGUUCUUUGUUCGAAUGGACCCAAACAAUAUUAUGUAAGAUGGUUUAUUGCUAUUGCGUGGGAUGGACGAAGGACACGUCGAUACUCGGACAGCAAAAUAUAAAUGCGUGACCCAGUUGUGAGGGUUUAUCGAGUUAUUUUCGGUUUCUCUCUC